AAAACCCGACCCGACCCGACCCGAAAAAUGAGGUUCAGGUACGGUUUCGGUUAGACUCUAUAAACCGAACGGAUAAUAUGAUUGAUUUGCAGCGGGUUCGGUUUCGGUUCGGGUGUAAACCGAAACCCGAUCGGUUAACCGGCCAUUUAUUGUAUACACAUAUAUAUAAGGAUAUGUGUAGUUAAGAGAAGUAAUCAUAUAUUCAUAAACCCAAAAAUAUCGAGACUUGAGAGCACGUAUCUCCUGUUUCCGAUAUUCUCUCCGAUUUUCUAGAUUGCUUUUGCCGUUUCCACUUCUCCACUCCAUUGAUUCGUUUCUCAUCUUAAAGCCUAUAUAAACCCCAAAUUGGCAAACUGGAAACCCUAAAUCCCCUAAACGAUUCACGAGAAAUAGCUGCUAAACCUACUCUAUCAGCUUCUUCGACAAAUCAAUCAUGGGUUCUUCUUCACCUCCUCAACGACAACAAGAUGAAUAUCAGAAUCAGAAUGAUGAUGAAUCGGAGAGAAGUGAAGAUGAUGUGAUCCUUCGACAUUGGGAUUUUGUAGCUUCUGGAUGAAGACUCAUUAAGCUUGUAUGGAAGUGAAGUGAUUCUGGAUUGAUUUUUUUUUUCUCUCUAAACUCUUAGCUCUUAUGCUCUCUCCCUCUUUGGUACUUUGCAUUCUGGUUUUUGGAUGUUGGAAUUGUUUCUAUGUUGUUUUUCUUUUUUACUCUAAACUCCUUAUUCUCUCUUUGUUUGGAUUUGAAUUCUGGUUGUUCUAAUACUCUUAUACUAUGCAUU